rnacentral:lncRNA from 1 species
GGGGAGUGGACGUAGGUGCAAGGUUAGCACCAAACCACUAUAAAUCCUUGUGUUUGUGGUGUGCUUUAUCGCUUUAUCUUAUUUAUAUCCUUGCAAUACUGCUUUAGUUAAUAUUGAUUUAAAGCCAUUAUUUUGUUCUUCAUAAGUUAUCUGUUGGGCUUAAAAUUUUUUGAAACCCAAUUCACCCCCCCUCUUGGGUUGCAUAGCUGGGCAACAGAUCUUUUGGGAAAGAGUUUCUAAAGAGGUCAAACUAGAUAUAUCCUUUGAAGGUCUGUCACUCUUCUUGGUCUUUAGACUUUUUAGGUACAGUGGAUAAUUCCUCUUCCAAUGAUCGUUAGUAUUAUAGUGAAAAUAUUUUUCUUUAUCUAAAGCCUUCUUCAGAGUGUCAUUCUUCAGCCUAUUCUUAUUCUUCUGCUUCUUCACAAGUUUAUUCUAUUUUUCUUAAGUAAACUUUCUUUUGGAGGAAGAUGCCUACUCAACAGUAAGAAUAGAGUCCUUUGAACUUUUCAAGGUUCUCUCUGUUGUAACUAACAUGUUGAGUAAUUUAGAUAGAGUGUAGUCUAACUUGUUCAUAUGGUAGUUUAUAAUAAACUAACUAUAUAAACUAAUAAGAGACUACAAGAUCAAAUCCACCUGUAAUUCCUUUAGUAUAGUCAUGCUGAGCUUCUCAAAUUCCUCCAGAUCCUUAAUCAUUAUCAGAUUGUAGACUGACUGUCCUUCAUGUAUUUUGGAGUUGAAGAGUCUCUUUAGACACUUUAAAAUGUAU